rnacentral:ncRNA from 1 species
AUAUAAGCAUUGAGCAAGAGAGUAGAUUAACCGGCUUUGAUCAGAGAGUGGAUGGUUGCUGAAAAUUCCGCCGGCCAGUUAAUUGAACGUAGCUUGUGAGCUGUUGGACUGAACCAAGUAGGUCUAACCGGUGUAACGGCCGUUAACGAUUGUUAUUAAGAGGGGCCUAAACGCCCAAUUUAGGUGGUACCGCGAAGCACUUCGUCCUAUGU